UUUUCCAGGAGAGUUAUCCUUUCAUGUUUCUCCUCUUCAAUUGUUUGUUCUUCAGGUUUCUCCUCAAUUAUUGGUUCUUCAGGUUUCUUCUCAAAUGCUGGUGUUUCACGUUUCUCCUCAAUUGAUGGUUCUUCAGGUUUCUUCUCAACCGUUGGUUCUUCAGGUUUUUCUUCAACUCCGGUUCUUCAAGGUUUGCCUCAACUGAUAAAUAGUCGGCAACAUCAUUGUUGGUAUUGCAUUGAAUUUCACUGUCAGUCUUCUCAUUGAAAUCUACAACUGACAUAUUCUGCAAGAAGAAUUUAAAGUUUCACUUAAUCUUUCAAUUGAUAAGUAGAUUCGAAUCUUUGCACAUACAGAACUAAUAGGAUGGAUAAACUUUGUGAUAGUGCUUGAUCCUCACCUUUUCCAAGAGAGUUACCUUUUCAGACUUCUCCUCUUUAACCGCUGGUUUUUCAGAUUUCUCUUCAACUACUAAUUGUUCAGGUAUUUCUUCAACAGAUGGUUCUUCAGGUUUCUCUUCAAAUUCUAGUUCUUCCGGUGUUGGUUCUUCAGCUUUUUCUUCAACUAUUAGUUCUCUAGGUUUCUCUUCAGCUGCUAGUUUUUCAUGUUUCUCCUCAACCUCUGGUUCUUCAAGUUUUUCUUCCACGGCUGGUUUUUCCUCAAUCGCUGGUUCUUCAUGUUUCUCCGUAACUGCUGGUUCUCUAGGUUUCUCUUCAACCGUUGGUUCUUCAUGUUUUUCUUCAACUGCUGGUUCUUCAAGUUUUUCCUCAACUGCUGGAUAGUCAACAGCGUCAUGAUUGGU
rnacentral:lncRNA from 1 species